AUUGAACGCUGGCUGCAGGCCUAACACAUGCAAGUCGAACGAGUGGCGGACGGGUGAGAAAUGUACGGGAAACUGCCUGCUGGUGGGGGAUAACUACCGGACACGGUAGCUAAUACCGCAUACCAUCGGAUGUGCCCAGAUGGGAUUAGCUAGUAGGUGGGGUAAAGGCUCACCUAGGCGACGAUCCCUAGCUGGUCUGAGAGGAUGACAAGCCACACUGGAACUGAUACGCGGUGCAGACUCCUACGGUAGGGGGGGUUGGGGAAUAGUGCACAGGGGGCGGAGUCCUGAUGCAGCCAUGCCGAGUGUAUGAAGAGGGCCUUCGGGUUGUGAAGUACUUUCAGCGGGGAGGCGUUACCCGCAGAAGAAGCACCGGCUAACUCCGUGCCAGCAGCCGCGGUAAUAC
rnacentral:rRNA from 1 species